AACGAACGCUGGCGGCGUGGAUAAGACAUGCAAGUCGAACGAUUAUCAUCGGGUAGCAAUAUUCGGUGGUGAGAGUGGCGCAAGGGUGCGUAACACGUGGGUAAUUUGCCGUGAAGUCUG
rnacentral:rRNA from 1 species